rnacentral:rRNA from 1 species
UACGUAGGGUGCAAGCGUUGUCCGGAAUUAUUGGGCGUAAAGAGCUCGUAGGCGGUUUGUCGCGUCUGCUGUGAAAACUCAGGGCUUAACCCUGAGCCUGCAGUGGGUACGGGCAGACUAGAGUGUGGUAGGGGAGAUCGGAAUUCCUGGUGUAGCGGUGGAAUGCGCAGAUAUCAGGAGGAACACUGGUGGCGAAGGCGGAUCUCUGGGCCAUAACUGACGCUGAGGAGCGAAAGCAUGGGGAGCGAACAGG